UACGAAGGGGGCUAGCGUUGUUCGGAAUUACUGGGCGUAAAGCGCACGUAGGCGGAUAUUUAAGUCAGGGGUGAAAUCCCAGAGCUCAACUCUGGAACUGCCUUUGAUACUGGGUAUCUUGAGUAUGGAAGAGGUAAGUGGAAUUCCGAGUGAUAGAGGUGAAAUUCGUAGAUAUUCGGAGGAACACCAGUGGCGAAGGCGGCUUACUGGUCCAUUACUGACGCUGAGGUGACGAAAGGCGUGGGGAGCAAACAGG
rnacentral:rRNA from 1 species